rnacentral:rRNA from 1 species
GGGUCAGUAGGUUGGUCGUGCCACCGGUACGUACUGGUCUCACUGAUUCCUCCUUCCUGAAGAACCGUAAUGCCAUUAAUUUGGUGCUGCGGGGAAACAGGACUGUUACUUUGAAAAAAUUAGAGUGUUUAAAGCAAGCUAACGCUUGAAUACAUUAGCAUAGAAUAAUGAAAUAGGACGAUCGAUCCUAUUUUGUUGGUUUCUAGGAUUGACGUA